rnacentral:rRNA from 1 species
GACGAACGCUGGCGGUAUGCUUAACACAUGCAAGUCGAACGAGAAGUUUUUUAUUGAACCUUCGGGGGAUAUAAGAGACAGACAGUGGCGAACGGGUGAGUAACGCGUGGGCAACCUACCUAUCGGAGCGGGAUAGCCUCGAGAAAUCGGGAGUAAAACCGCAUAACACGGAUAUAUCGCAUGAUGAAUCCGUCAAAACUCCGGUGCCGAUAGAUGGGCCCGCGUCUGAUUAGCUAGUUGGUAAGGUAAGGGCUUACCAAGGCAACGAUCAGUAGCCGGUCUGAGAGGGCGAACGGCCACACUGGAACUGAGACACGGUCCAGACUCCUACGGGAGGCAGCAGUGGGGAAUAUUGCGCAAUGGGGGCAACCCUGACGCAGCAAUACCGCGUGAGUGAAGAAAGGUUUUCGGAUCGUAAAGCUUCUGUUAAUGGG